rnacentral:rRNA from 1 species
UACGGGGGGGGUAAGCGUUGUUCGGAAUUACUGGGCGUAAAGGGCUCGUAGGCGGCCAACUAAGUCAUACGUGAAAUCCCUCAGCUUAACUGGGGAACUGCGUGUGAUACUGGAUGGCUUGGAUUUGGGAGAGGGAUGCGGAAUUCCAGGUGUAGCGGUGAAAUGCGUAGAUAUCUGGAGGAACACCGGUGGCGAAGGCGGCAUCCUGGACCAAUAUUGACGCUGAGGAGCGAAAGCGUGGGGGGCGAACAGG